rnacentral:rRNA from 1 species
CUGACGCUGAGGUGCGAAAGCCAGGGUAGCGAACGGGAUUAGAUACCCCGGUAGUCCUGGCCAUAAACGAUGUCCACUAGAUCGGUGAACUUCUGACAGUGCGCCGGUCGAAACAAAAGCGUUAAGUGGACCGCCUGGGGAGUACGGUCGCAAGGCUAAAACUCAAAGGAAUUGACGGGGGCUCACACAAGCGGUGGAGCAUGUUGCUUAAUUCGAUGCAACGCGAAGAACCUUAUCCUGGACUUGACAUGUUUGGAUGCCUCCCUGGAAACAGGGUUGGUUGCCCUUCGGGGUGAAACAUUCACAGGUGCUGCAUGGCUGUCGUCAGCUCGUGUCGUGAGAUGUUGGGUUAAGUCCCGUAACGAGCGAAACCCUUGUCGUUAGUUGCCAGCGCGUAAUGGCGGGGACUCUAGCGAGACUGCCGGUGUUAAACCGGAGGAAGGUGGGGAUGACGUCAAGUCCUCAUGGCCUUUAUGUCCAGGGCUGCAAACGUGCUACAAUGGCGUGUACAAACCGACGCAAGACCGCGAGGUGGAGCAAAUCGGAAAAAGCACGCCCCAGUUCGGAUUGGAGUCUGCAACUCGACUCCAUGAAGUCGGAAUCGCUAGUCCUCGCGUAUCAGCGUGACGCGGUGNAUGUGUUCCUGAGCCUUGUACACACCGCCCGUCAAGUCAUGGAAGCUGGGAGCACCCGAAGUCGGCACGAAUCAGUGCUGCCUA